UGGCUCAGUUGAUAGAGCAUGGGGUUUGCAACGCCAGGGUUGUGGGUUCGAUUCCCAC
rfam:Salmo salar isolate Sally breed double haploid chromosome ssa26, whole genome shotgun sequence.